rnacentral:rRNA from 1 species
GGGAAUAUUGGACAAUGGGGGGAACCCUGAUCCAGCGACGCCGCGUGAGUGAAGAAGUAUUUCGGUAUGUAAAGCUCUAUCAGCAGGGAAGAAAGAAAUGACGGUACCUGACUAAGAAGCCCCGGCUAACUACGUGCCAGCAGCCGCGGUAAUACGUAGGGAGCAAGCGUUAUCCGGAAUUAUUGGGUGUAAAGGGUGCGUAGACGGGAUAACAAGUUGGUUGUGAAACCCCUCGGCUCAACUGAGGAACUGCAACCAAAACUAUUAUUCUUGAGUGCAGGAGAGGAAAGUGGAAUUCCUAGUGUAGCGGUGAAAUGCGUAGAUAUUAGGAAGAACACCGGUGGCGAAGGCGACUUUCUGGACUGUAACUGACGUUGAGGCACGAAAGUGUGGGGAGCAAACAGG